AUACAUAGUCAAACGAAGCGAACCGGGGGAACUGAAACAUCUCAGUACCCCGAGGAAAAGAAAUCAACCGAGAUUCCCCUAGUAGCGGCGAGCGAACGGGGAGCAGCCCAGAGUCUUAAUCAGCAUUAGUAUCAGGAGAACGGUCUGGAAAGUCCGGCAGUAAAGGGUGAUAGCCCCGUAUCUGAAGAUAUUAGUGUUGUGAACUCGACGAGUAGGGCGGGACACGUGUUAUCCUGUCUGAAUAUGGGGGGACCAUCCUCCAAGGCUAAAUACUCCUGAUUGACCGAUAGUGAACCAGUACCGUGAGGGAAAGGCGAAAAGAACCCCGGCGAGGGGAGUGAAAUAGAACCUGAAACCGUGUACGUACAAGCAGUGGGAGCCUUGAUUUAUCAGGGUGACUGCGUACCUUUUGUAUAAUGGGUCAGCGACUUAU
rnacentral:rRNA from 1 species